UUAAAGAUAAUGAUAAGGAAUAGUAUAUAGAGGAUUACUUUAUAGAGAGCUGAAGAGUGGUGGAACUUCGGUAAGGUACUUUAUAGAAGCAGCCUUUGAAUCUCAUAUUGAGAAAUAAGAGUUACUAGCUCUUAAAGUAGAUAUUGACGUUUCCUCACGUUAUAGAGGGUAGAAUAUGUACAUUAUAUUCUAACUGAGUGGGCAAUACUAUAUUGCCUAUUAGGGUGGUACCGCGAAGUAGAUCCUUCGUCCCUUUU
rnacentral:ncRNA from 1 species